rnacentral:lncRNA from 1 species
UCCUACUUCAGUCCCCAGAGUAGCUGGGACUAUAGCCAGUUUCAGACAUUGGAAGCCGGACCUGCUCUGCCCAGAAAGCCUCAUUAUGAAGAGAAGGAAGUACCCAGCACCCCAGGAGUCAAGUGUUAGCUGACCCAAUUAUUCACAUGUUGAAGACAGGCAAUGGCAAAAAUUGGAAUGGAAAAAAAAAAGAGACCCAAAUCCUCUAUGACGCCAGGAGGUAAUGAUGGAGCAGUGGUGAGAACCACUGAAUGCCACAGGCCUCAAAGGAAGAAAAAAGAGCUUUUGAAUGAGGCAAACUGCUGCAUGGAUAAGAGGCAGUCUGGCCGCAUGAGAAGGUUAAUCCUUGAGCAUCCUUCUCUUGGGAUUUUCUCUGGGAAAAUCCCAGUUUCACUUCCAGGAAGGUGUAUUAGUUUCUUAGGGCUGCUAUAACAAAGUACCACAAACUCAGUGGCUUAAAACAAGAGAAAUGUAUUCUUUCCCAGUUCUGGAAACUGAAAGUUUGAGAUUAAGUGUUGGCAGAGCCAUGUUUGCUCUGAAGGCUCUAGGGAAGAACCCUUCCUUUUCAUGUCCUGGCUUCUGGUGAUGUCGGCAAUCCUUGCAUUCCUUGACUUGUAGCUAUAUUGCUCCAGUCUCUGCCUCCAUUCUCUUCCCUGUGUCCCCUCUGUGUCUUCAAAUCUCUCUCUCCUUGAAAGGACACUAGCCAUUGGAUUUAAGGCCAUCCUAGUUAAGAAUGACCUCAUCUCAACUUGAUUACAUCUGCAAAGGCCCUAUUUCAAAAUUCAGUUACAUUCAAAUAGACUGGGGUGAGGAUGUCAAAAUAUCUUUUUGGGGGACACAAUUCAACCUACAGCAGAAAGGAAUAGAAGCAACAUUGUGUGAUCAGGCUGAAGGAGAGAUGAAUUAUUUAUAAUCGAGUGAGGACUUCAUAGAAUUAAACAGAAAGGAUUAGACAUGGGUUAUCAAGAGAUGACUGUCAAAAGGCAGGAAGCUUGGAAGAGAUAGUUGUAGCACUGAUGCUUAUAAAGCAGAGAUCUGAAAGUUGAAGGUCCCAGGGAAAAGCCAGAUGAUGUCAAUGAGUGAAACAUCCUGCAUGGGGUGUGUAGUGAAAUCUGAAAGCAGCCACUGCUCAGCUCCAGCUGGUUGCUGUCACAAGAGAAUAGACCCCAUGUUGUCAGAUUUUUCAAAAAUAAGCAGUACACUCAGAUUAUGUGGCAUCUCCUGAAUUUAAAAUGAUGACAGCUAGUUACACAUGUUGAUGAACUGUAGAGACUACAAACCCUGAUGCUGGCUGGAUUUGUACCAUGGAUGGUCAAGGAUCACAUAGCUAGGAGAGGCAGGGUAUACAGGACAGGCAGGGUAUACAGGACAGGCAGGCAGGAUAAAAAUGGAAUGCACAGCUCAGUGUUCUCAUUGGCAUGCCACUGGUCUCCCUGGUCAUAUGGAAAGCUGUUAGGAUGCAGAGUCUAAGCCCUGGUGGUUUCUGCUGAGCAGGCUGCCGGAAACAGAUGGUCUUCUUUUUGUUAGAGACAAUCACGACUCCUCCCUCUAAAGAGCUUACUGUCCAUUUGAGUGGAGAAAACUGCUGUACUUGAGAUGGGAGGUUUCUUGUGCAAAUCACCUCUGUAGCCAGAGCUUCUCAGGUUGAGUAGGAUUUAGGCAUGCAAAGGAGGUGGCCUCACUCAGUGUCCUCCAAGAAGGGAAAACAGCAUGGAGACAAGCAGGGAGAUGGUGUGUGCAGGAAGAGUAAA